rnacentral:snoRNA from 1 species
AACCCAUGUUGAGGGCACUUUCGGUGCAUGUUCUUGAAUCUGUUCCAAGCUUCGUCAAAUGAUUCGAUUUCUCCUUGACUGAAUACUGAUAUUUCAUGUCUCAGUUU